ACAGGUCUGUCCUGCCAGGUCAGGCUGUUGUCAUAGUUGAUAAAUCGGUUGUCCCAGCACCAUCUCUCCUGCGUCUCUGAGGCACCCCCUGUCUACACAGCUUUCUUCUUUCUGAGGAUGACACAUUCAUUUACCUCCCCAGCUUCUGCCGCUCCCUCAGCUGUGAGGGAGCAAGUGAAAUCUUUGGAGUCUGAGUUCAAAGCAAGAGUGCCAGUUACAAGUUCGUUGGUAGUGCAUGCUUCUGACCAGUGUUUGUACACACGCUGGCAUGGAGAUCAGCAGGAGGCAGGCUGUUUCAGCCUCUACCCCAGUGCUUAUUCAGACAUCUCUAGAGGCCGUUCCUCCACUCUGCCGUUUAGCAGGAAUUCUAGCACCUACGCUCACAGGUUUGGGUUUUCUACACUAGGAGUAGAAGCCAGGCAUCAGAGUCUGACAAUCACUGAUAAUUGUGAUGUGUGCCUUCAAUAAAAAUAAAAACAAACAAACAAAACAAA
rnacentral:lncRNA from 1 species